rnacentral:lncRNA from 1 species
ACACUUACAGACUCUUGGCAGUAACUAAUACACCUGUAGCAAAAGUGGUUGAAGUUCCUUGGGCUACUCUGUUGAAAUAGGAACUUCUAGUUAAGACCAUGUCUUCUUUGUUCACCAUUGAACAGUACUCAGCUAAGCACAGGGCACGUAUUGAGUACUCAACCAGUAUGUGAGGAAAGACUGGUUAGAGGUAUAAAUGAAUGAAUGAAUGUUGCCAUCCCAUUAUUGAUGCUCUCCAAACUCUUCACUACAAAUGGAGUCAGUUCCAGAAUCCAAAGCCAGCAUUCUUCUCCUGAUUAUGACAUGCACCAAAGAGGCAUCCCCUGAGCUGGAUGUUUAAAUCAGAGCCCACAGCUGAAGUGAGCACCAAGAUGUACUGAGCAAGUGUGGACUCUUACUGAUCCAAGUGGCAGCAGCAGCUUCAAGGGUGAACUGUUGCUCAGCAGAGAAAUGGCAGGAAAAAAUAGGACAUUCGCUUCUGGCCUUAGUCCUGUUGGAACACAAAAAGUGGAGUCUGCAAUGCUGUUGGAGGCUCAACAGGUCAAAUACAUCAGUAAUGGGCAUGGUAUGGCUGGGGUCAUACGGAGACAGUCCUUAGAGCACUGAAAAUGUGAUCAUCCUGAAUCCCAUAAGGAUCCUUAUGAGGUUAGAAGGGACAAUGUGGCUCCACUUUGAUGACUGACAGCAGUUGCUUUGUACUCCCAUAGGUAUAAGGGGAAAAUCUUUUGCAGAAUUCACUCAGCAAGUCAAUCAACAAGAAGACACACAUCCUUGGGGAACAAGGGGUGCUUUCCUCACAGAAAGUUGUUUCCAAUAAACCAAUUUCUGCUGCUUAGCAACCUUGAUGAUG